rnacentral:sRNA from 29 species
UGGUGCAUUAGCUGCACCCACCAAUGCCCCGGUGAUCUGAGAGGGGCGCCUUCGGGUGAUUGCAUACCAAUGUCACCGUAGCCUGAGAGGUGGCGCCUUCGGGUGGUACAGCCCUUUAAUCUUUGGAAACGGCUGUCGUGUACUUCUGCGACGAAGAUAUUU